AUGAACGCUAGCGACAGGCUUAACACAUGCAAGUCGAGGGGCAGCAUGAUUUGUAGCAAUACAGAUUGAUGGCGACCGGCGCACGGGUGAGUAACGCGUAUGCAACUUACCUAUCAGAGGGGGAUAGCCCGGCGAAAGUCGGAUUAAUACCCCAUAAAACAGGGGUCCCGCAUGGGAAUAUUUGUUAAAGAUUCAUCGCUGAUAGAUAGGCAUGCGUUCCAUUAGGCAGUUGGCGGGGUAACGGCCCACCAAACCGACGAUGGAUAGGGGUUCUGAGAGGAAGGUCCCCCACAUUGGUACUGAGACACGGACCAAACUCCUACGGGAGGCAGCAGUGAGGAAUAUUGGUCAAUGGCCGAGAGGCUGAACCAGCCAAGUCGCGUGAAGGAAGAAGGAUCUAUGGUUUGUAAACUUCUUUUAUAGGGGAAUAAAGUGGAGGACGUGUCCUUUUUUGUAUGUACCCUAUGAAUAAGCAUCGGCUAACUCCGUGCCAGCAGCCGCGGUAAUACGGAGGAUGCGAGCGUUAUCCGGAUUUAUUGGGUUUAAAGGGUGCGUAGGUGGUGAUUUAAGUCAGCGGUGAAAGUUUGUGGCUCAACCAUAAAAUUGCCGUUGAAACUGGGUUACUUGAGUGUGUUUGAGGUAGGCGGAAUGCGUGGUGUAGCGGUGAAAUGCAUAGAUAUCACGCAGAACUCCGAUUGCGAAGGCAGCUUACUAAACCAUAACUGACACUGAAGCACGAAAGCGUGGGGAUCAAACAGGAUUAGAUACCCUGGUAGUCCACGCAGUAAACGAUGAUAACUCGUUGUCGGCGAUACACAGUCGGUGACUAAGCGAAAGCGAUAAGUUAUCCACCUGGGGAGUACGUUCGCAAGAAUGAAACUCAAAGGAAUUGACGGGGGCCCGCACAAGCGGAGGAACAUGUGGUUUAAUUCGAUGAUACGCGAGGAACCUUACCCGGGUUUGAACGUAGUCUGACCGGAGUGGAAACACUCUUUCUAGCAAUAGCAGAUUACGAGGUGCUGCAUGGUUGUCGUCAGCUCGUGCCGUGAGGUGUCGGCUUAAGUGCCAUAACGAGCGCAACCCUUAUCACUAGUUACUAACAGGUGAAGCUGAGGACUCUGGUGAGACUGCCAGCGUAAGCUGUGAGGAAGGUGGGGAUGACGUCAAAUCAGCACGGCCCUUACAUCCGGGGCGACACACGUGUUACAAUGGCAUGGACAAAGGGCAGCUACCUGGUGACAGGAUGCUAAUCUCCAAACCAUGUCUCAGUUCGGAUCGGAGUCUGCAACUCGACUCCGUGAAGCUGGAUUCGCUAGUAAUCGCGCAUCAGCCAUGGCGCGGUGAAUACGUUCCCGGGCCUUGUACACACCGCCCGUCAAGCCAUGGGAGCCGGGGGUACCUGAAGUCCGUAACCGCAAGGAUCGGCCUAGGGUAAAACUGGUGACUGGGGCU
rnacentral:rRNA from 1 species